AGAUAAUAGAUACCCUGGUAGUCCACGCCCUAAACGAUGUCGACUGGUUGUUGGGGGUUUGACACUCUCAGUAAACGAAAGCUAAACGCGUGAAGUCGACCGCCUGGGGAGUACGGCCGCAAGGUUAAAACUCAAAGGAAUUGACGGGGACCCGCACAAGCGGUGGAUUAUGUGGAUUAAUUCGAUGCAACGCGAAAAACCUUACCUACCCUUGACAUGUCCGGAAGGCUGCUGAAAGGCGGCUGUGCCCGAAAGGGAACUGGAACACAGGUGCUGCAUGGCUGUCGUCAGCUCGUGUCGUGAGAUGUUGGGUUAAGUCCCGCAACGAGCGCAACCCUUGUCAUUAGUUGCUACCCGCAAGGGAGCACUCUAAUGAGACUGCCGGUGACAAACCGGAGGAAGGUGGGGAUGACGUCAAGUCCUCAUGGCCCUUAUGGGUAGGGCUUCACACGUAAUACAAUGGCGCGUACAGAGGGUUGCCAAGGAGCGAUCUGGAGCCAAUCCCGUAAAGCGCGUCGUAGUCCGGAUUGCAGUCUGCAACUCG
rnacentral:rRNA from 1 species